rnacentral:rRNA from 1 species
AUAGUGGCGACGGGUGAGUAACGCGUGAGAAUCUGCCUUCGGUUCGGGACAACCACUGGAAACGGUGGCUAAUACCGGAUAAGCCCACGGGUGAAAGAUUAAUUGCCGAAAGAGGAGCUCGCGUCUGAUUAGCUAGUUGGUGAGGUAAAGGCUUACCAAGGCGACGAUCAGUAGCUGGUCUGAGAGGAUGAUCAGCCACACUGGGACUGAGACACGGCCCAG